rnacentral:rRNA from 1 species
UACGUAGGGUGCAAGCGUUAAUCGGAAUUACUGGGCGUAAAGCGUGCGUAGGCGGUUGUCUAAGUCUGGUGUGAAAUCUCCCGGCUCAACUGGGAGGGUGCGCCGGAAACUGGAUGACUGGAGUGCCGGAGAGGUAAGCGGAAUUCCUGGUGUAGCGGUGAAAUGCGUAGAGAUCAGGAGGAACACCUGUGGUGUAGACAGCUUACUGGACGGUGACUGACGCUGAGGCACGAAAGCGUGGGUAGCAAACAGG